AAUUCGUACCUAUGGGAAGAACACCGGUGGCGAAGGGGGCUCUCUGCCCGAGAGGGCGCUGAGGCGGGGAGAGGAAGGGGAGCAAACAGGAUUAGAUACCAAACAGUCCACGCUGUAGACGAUGUGUGCGAGACGUUGGCGAGCAUAGGUUUUGGGGUGGCAGAUGACGCAUAAGCACUCCGCGUGGGGAGUGCGGCCGCAAAGAUACAACUCAAAAGAAUAGACGGAGGACCGCACAAGCGGUGGAGCAAGUGAUUUAAUUGGACGCAACUCGAAUAACCUUACCAGCCCUUGACAUGUCCCGAGUGGGCCGGAGGGAUCCGGUCCUUCAGUUCGGCUGGCGGGAACACAGGUGCUGCAUGGCUGUCGUCAGCUCGUGUCGUGAGAUGUUGGGUUAAAUCCCGCAACGAGCGCAACCCCCAUCUUCAGUUGCCAUCGGUUUGGCCGGGCACUCUGGAGAAACUGCCGGUGACAAGCCGGAGGAAGGCGGGGAUGACGUCAAGUCCUCAUGGCCCUUAUGGGCUGGGCUACACACGUGCUACAAUGGCGGUGACAGAGGGGAGCGAGGCAGCGAUGCCGAGCCAAUCUCAAAAAGUCGUCUCAGUUCGGAUUGCUCUCUGCAACUCGAGAGCAUGAAGUCGGAAUCGCUAGUAAUCGCGGAUCGGCAUGCCGCGGUGAAUACGUUCCCGGG
rnacentral:rRNA from 1 species